CCUUCUGGUUCAAUGUUUUCAAUAAUGUCCUUUGGCAUUGAUCUCUGUGGUACCUCUCCCCAGGGUCUUCUCUCUUGAAUCUCUGAAGUCACAGAGAAUGAAUUACCCCUUGUUAUUCCAUGACAGUACACACAGGAGUUCACUUCAUGGCGCUUACCACUAAAUUCUACAUGUUACUGUGAUUCCAUCCUGACCUCCCACAGGCAGAUGAUCUUGCCAGAACUUUACUUCUCCAGAGCCUUACCCUACUAGGAAAAGACAGAAACAGGAUGGGGGUAUGGAUCGACCUGCCAAUGUCCAUGUCUAGCAGAGAAGCAGUUACACAGACCUUCUACCUUCUGUACUCCAUAAAAAUUUUUGGCCCAGAAUCAGAAAUAUUAAAGGAAGAAUCAUAAAUA